ensembl:lncRNA
AGCAAAAGGUUAAGCAGCUACUGAAGAAGGGCAGGCGCACCAGCAAGCUCUCCAUAAUACGGUAAAUUAGGGGCAGAAAUCUGAACUCAGGUGGAGGGCAGUACCAGCACGUCCCUGUGAGGAAAAGGACGCGGGCUUCCUAUGGGAGAAGCGGUGAUGUUUCCUCAGUGAUUUGCCUCUAGUCAGAUAAACACAGCUGGUGGUAAGAGAUUCAUGAGGCCGGGCAGAGCUACACAUCUGCCCGAAAGAGGAAGGCAAGUACUGUACAAGCUAUGGUGCUCAUCUCAAGGAUUUUAUUUCUCAAGCUGAGACAGCAUAAAGACACACUGAAGAUAAAUCAUGGACCAUAUAACAAGAACAGACAAAGGGAGGUGCUACAGAACUUGGAAUGGAGAAGGCAUGAAGACAAAUGAAAGAAGUUACAAGUGAAGACAUGCUGAUAUGAAAAUAACACAGAAGAAAGCACUGACUGUGCCUUUAUGCUUGAAGAGCUGUCUCAGGAGCAGGCCCAGCUACCCCAGGUACUCCCCACUGCUGUCUCACAGGCUGACCACAUGGAGCUCAUUUGGUCAUGUCUGAUGUUUCUGUGAUGCUGGUGGCGCUCUGGCAUUUGAAGUUGUGGGUGCACUUUCACCCAUACCUGGGAUCAUCUUUUCUGAGUUCACAGCUUUAGGUCUACCCAAAACUGAAGUUUGGAGAAGUAACCAAUAGCCUUCAAAGGUAAUGUGAGUAUUGACUGUGAUUUAGUUUAGGUAAUCCUUCAGGUGGGCACUGACCUGCAUCUUUGUGCUGGAGUUAAGGCGUCCUGUAACUUGCUGUCCUUUAUUGCACUGCACUGCUGUAUCAUCUUAUUUAUUUAAUACUGUACUUUUACUCAAACAGUGUUACAAAUAGCUGGAUCUUGAAAUUUGUUGCCAGAUUCCGCAGUAGUCAUCCUUCUCAUCCAAUGAAGUUGUCUGCUCUCCUCAAGCGGUUAAGGCAUAAAAAAACUUUCUUCUAUUUUUCCUUGUAUCUGAAACUUCAGUUUCUACAAAAAUCUGAAGGCUGAAGGAAGGUAACAGCUGUGCUAUUUUGUUUUCUGUUAUCAAUGUUUCUUUUUUAUUAAUGUUUAUGUUAUUUCUCAGUUAACGUGGCAGCUUAACAUUUAGGUAGAUGAGAAUCUGAUUUUACUUAGAAGGCAUUUUAUUUAUUCGAGGCUAUUCUAAAUGGCUUGUUUAAUGGAUGUAUCACAACUUAACUGAUGACCUCAUCCUCCUUCUGUGCCAUUACAGUUCCACAUAACAAAGAGAUGGCCUUAUGUAUCCAGGGGAAAUGGAAUUACAUAAGCAGAAAAUUAAGCCUGUCAAAAUAGUAUAUAAAUGAUGCAUAGUAUAUAGUAUAUAAAUACUUUUGCCUGGUAAGUAGAGUGAUUUCCAAUGUGUUCUGAAAUUUUGGUCCUUGGACCAAGGCAAAAAAUGAUCACCUCAAGGUAAAAUACAAGUCUCUAGUCCUUUUAAAAAAUAGUAGAUAUAUAUAAAUGGGUGAACGUGUUAGAGCUCCUUGCUUUGACUUAUCUUAUGAAUUAAAUUUAUCAGCUGCGAAAUUUGCUGCAUCAGGAUUUUCACAAUGAUCCCCCCUCAAAGAGAUGGCAUCUAAUGUGCUAAAGUGAAGGCUGAUAUCAAAAGGGUUUGAAGCUGAAUUUAAAGUGCUAAUCAGAGGGUUUUUGAUCUGUUUCCUGUAGAAGCAGAUUCCUUGUGCCACAUUCAUGCGUUUCCCAUCGCUUUGUAGGCUGAAGAAGAAAUCCAGUCUGCCAAAUUAAUUAGCUAGAAUUCUCCUACGUAGGCGACUUUGUAGGAGUGUGUAGACCUUAGAGGACUGUUUGUCACCAAAUGAACGUGUCUGUGCUAGUUCAGAAUCCCCUUCAAGCUACGUCUGAAAUAUUUUUCUGUUGAAAUGAGUUACUCCUUCUCGUGGGUGUAAUGAAGAAUCUUGUCCUACAUCUUCAUUUGUAUAUACUAGGUUCAUGACAGAGCAACUUAGUCAUAUGAAAGAAUGCAGAUAUCACCUCCCUUCUAUACCGUGUAAACCUGCUGUGAGCACUGGAGCUGUGCAGUUAACAGACCAGUAGAACCAGGUCUGUGGGGUCUACCAAAACAACCAGGUUGCGAAGUCUGCAUAGUGAAGUUAAAAAUCUAAUCUGUCUGUUUGCAUGGAUACUUAAUCACGGACAUACAAGUUCACAUUCAAGUUAACCUUAAUUACACUUCUGAGCUCUUCCAUCUAAAUGAAAAUACUUUGAUGAAUGUUGCUUUGUUGUUUUUUUUUAAUAAUUAUCCUCCCAUUACAAAGCAACUGAAUAUUCCUAUUCUACCUAUUGGCUUUUGUGCAUAGGAAAGACACACUGAAAACUAAAUAUAUCCAAUAUUAAAAUAUGUAUCUAAGAAGGACAGCAGGACGUUUCUUCUUUACAGCUUUAUGAUAAGAUUUGUCUAUGCAUGAAAUAAACUCAGCCAGUCAACGUCUC